UACGAAGGGGGGCUAGCGUUGCUCGGAAUUACUGGGCGUAAAGGGCGCGUAGGCGGUUCUAUAAGUCAGGCGUGAAAUUCCUGGGCUUAACCUGGGGGCUGCGCUUGAGACUGUGGGACUUGAGGUCAGAAGAGGGUCGUGGAAUUCCCAGUGUAGAGGUGAAAUUCGUAGAUAUUGGGAAGAACACCGGUGGCGAAGGCGGCGACCUGGUCUGAUACUGACGCUGAGGCGCGACAGCGUGGGGAGCAAACAGG
rnacentral:rRNA from 1 species